rfam:Schistosoma margrebowiei strain Zambia genome assembly, scaffold: SMRZ_scaffold0000019
AGCUUUUCGAAUUCGUGCUGAGAUUUUGCUAGACACCAAACUAUUAGGACCGAUCAGACUUCCAAAAUAAGUGAAGCU